rnacentral:rRNA from 1 species
GAUGAACGCUAGCGGCAGGCCUAAUACAUGCAAGUCGAACGGUAAGGCCCUUUCGGGGUACACGAGUGGCGGACGGGUGCGUAACGCGUAUGCAACAUACCUUCAAGCGGGGGAUAUGCCAGGGAAACUUGGUGCAACACCCCAUAGCAUUUCGGGACCGCAUGGUCUUGGGAUUAAAUAUUUAUAGCUUGGAGAUUGGCAUGCGUGACAUUAGCUAGUUGGCGGGGUAACGGCCCACCAAGGCGACGAUGUCUAGCUGGUCUGAGAGGAUGAUCAGCCACACUGGGACUGAGACACGGCCCAGACUCCUACGGGAGGCAGCAGUAGGGAAUAUUGGACAAUGGGGGGAACCCGUCGAUCCAGCCAUGCCGCGUGAGGGAAGAAGGUACCUCUGGAUUGUAAACCUAC